AGUGAACGCUGGCGGUAGGCCUAACACAUGCAAGUCGAACGGCAGCACAGUAAGAGCUUGCUCUUACGGGUGGCGAGUGGCGGACGGGUGAGGAAUACAUCGGAAUCUACUUUUUCGUGGGGGAUAACGUAGGGAAACUUACGCUAAUACCGCAUACGACCUACGGGUGAAAGCAGGGGAUCUUCGGACCUUGCGCGAUUGAAUGAGCCGAUGUCGGAUUAGCUAGCUGGCGGGGUAAAGGCCCACCAAGGCGACGAUCCGUAGCUGGUCUGAGAGGAUGAUCAGCCACACUGGAACUGAGACACGGUCCAGACUCCUACGGGAGGCAGCAGUGGGGAAUAUUGGACAUUGGGCGCAAGCCUGAUCCAGCCAUACCGCGUGGGUGAAGAAGGCCUUCGGGUUGUAAAGCCCUUUUGUUGGGAAAGAAAAGCAGCAGGUUAAUACCCCGCUGUUCUGACGGUACCCAAAGAAUAAGCACCGGCUAACUUCGUG
rnacentral:rRNA from 1 species